GGGGGUAAAGCUCAGUGUUAGAGCACCUGCUUGGCAUGCAUGAGGUCCUAUGUUCAAUCCCCAAUGCCUCCA
rnacentral:tRNA from 1 species